AGCAGCCGCGGUAAUUCCAGCUCCAAUAGCGUAUAUUAAAGUUGUUGCAGUUAAAAAGCUCGUAGUUGAAUUUCGGGGUCAAUAAGUUGGUCGUGCCAAUGGUAUGCACUGGCUUUAUUGAUUCCUACCUCUUGACGAACUGUGAUGCCAUUAAUUUGGUGUUGCAGGAAAUCAGGACUGUUACCUUGAAAAAUUAGAGUGUUUAAAGCAGGCUUACGCUUGAAUACAUUAGCAUGGAAUAAUGAAAUAGGACGUUUGAACCUAUUUUGUUGGUUUCUAGGAUCGACGUAAUGAUUAAUAGGGAUAGUUGGGGGCAUUAGUAUUCAAUUGUCAGAGGUGAAAUUCUUGGAUUUAUUGAAGACUAACUACUGCGAAAGCAUUUGCCAAGGAUGUUUUCAUUAAUCAAGAACGAAAGUUAGGGGAUCGAAGACGAUCAGAUACCGUCGUAGU
rnacentral:rRNA from 1 species